AAAUUUAUCAGUUCAUAUACGACUUGAGUUUGCAGUAUAACUGUUAAACAUUAUUCUCAAUUCAAUAAUUGUUAAAUAAUAGAUGUGGAUACAGAUUUCACUCUGAAGGCAAAUAGUCGUGCAGUAUAAGCAUACCUAGUGUAGGGUACUACCUAAUUGCCAUAAAAUUUAAGAGUAAUCAAUUUGGCUCAAUUCCAAAACCAUCGACAAACCCAAUCUCUGAUCAGCAUGAUGCAUGCAUGGAGCAUGUAUAAAGAUGGAGCUGGCUCAACAGUCAGAGUAGUUGUUUUUGACUUCAGGAAAGCUUGUACACAAUAUCGAUCACAAUACAGGGUGUAUAAAAAAAUGAACAGAUUUGAAAUUGCUUUUAAUUUCGCAAAACAGCUACUAGUAUC